rnacentral:misc_RNA from 1 species
UUUCCGUAGGUGAACCUGCGGAAGGAUCAUUCAUAAUUAAGUGUUUUAUGGCACUUUUUAAAAAUCCAUAUCCACCUUGUGUGCAAUGUUAGAUCUCGUCAAUCUUGGCGAGAUUUUUAUACAUCAACUCAUUCUUUAACUAAUUUGUCUGAAAAAUAUUAUGAAUACUUAAUUCAAAAUACAACUUUCAACAACGGAUCUCUUGGCUCUC